rnacentral:rRNA from 1 species
AGUGAACGCUGGCGGUAGGCCUAACACAUGCAAGUCGAACGGCAGCACAGUAAGAGCUUGCUCUUACGGGUGGCGAGUGGCGGGCGGGUGAGGAAUACAUCGGAAUCUACUUUUUCGUGGGGGAUAACGUAGGGAAACUUACGCUAAUGCCGCAUACGACCUACGGGUGAAAGCAGGGGAUCUUCGGACCUUGCGCGAUUGAAUGAGCCGAUGUCGGAUUAGCUAGUUGGCGGGGUAAAGGCCCACCAAGGCGACGAUCCGUAGCUGGUCUGAGAGGAUGAUCAGCCACACUGGAACUGAGACACGGUCCAGACUCCUACGGGAGGCAGCAGUGGGGAAUAUUGGACAAUGGGCGCAAGCCUGAUCCAGCCAUACCGCGUGGGUGAAGAAGGCCUUCGGGUUGUAAAGCCCUUUUGUUGGGAAAGAAAAGCAGCAGGUUAAUACCCCGCUGUUCUGACGGUACCCAAAGAAUAAGCACCGGCUAACUUCGUG